GGUGACCUGCGGAAGGAUCAUUACCUAGAGUUUGUAGACUUCGGUCUGCUACCUCUUACCCAUGUCUUUUGAGUACCUUCGUUUCCUCGGCGGGUCCGCCCGCCGAUUGGACAACAUUCAAACCCUUUGCAGUUGCAAUCAGCGUCUGAAAAAACAUAAUAGUUACAACUUUCAACAACGGAUCUCUUGGUUCUGGCAUCGAUGAAGAACGCAGCGAAAUGCGAUAAGUAGUGUGAAUUGCAGAAUUCAGUGAAUCAUCGAAUCUUUGAACGCACAUUGCGCCCCUUGGUAUUCCAUGGGGCAUGCCUGUUCGAGCGUCAUUUGUACCUUCAAGCUCUGCUUGGUGUUGGGUGUUUGUCUCGCCUCUGCGUGUAGACUCGCCUUAAAACAAUUGGCAGCCGGCGUAUUGAUUUCGGAGCGCAGUACAUCUCGCGCUUUGCACUCAUAACGACGACGUCCAAAAGUACAUUUUUACACUCUUGACCUCGGAUCAGGUAGGGAUACCCGCUGAACUUAAGCAUAUCAAUAAGCGGAGGAAAAGAAACCAACAGGGAUUGCCCUAGUAACGGCGAGUGAAGCGGCAACAGCUCAAAUUUGAAAUCUGGCGUCUUUGGCGUCCGAGUUGUAAUUUGCAGAGGGCGCUUUGGCAUUGGCAGCGGUCCAAGUUCCUUGGAACAGGACGUCACAGAGGGUGAGAAUCCCGUACGUGGUCGCUAGCCUUUACCGUGUAAAGCCCCUUCGACGAGUCGAGUUGUUUGGGAAUGCAGCUCUAAAUGGGAGGUAAAUUUCUUCUAAAGCUAAAUACUGG
rnacentral:rRNA from 1 species